GAUUGCAUCACUGCUGCAUAACAUUUUGCGCAGCUAGGAAACUAUACUGAUGCAGGUAUCUUUUGCAGAUGGUCAGAUGCGGUUGGACACAUGGAGGAGAGAAUCAUUUUAGCAGUAUCCUCAAAACUGUGUCCUUUUGACACAACUGCUGACAGCUACAGGGACAUAAACACAAAAAGUGCUGCUUGAAGACAAGUGUCCACGAUAGUAUGAUUACCAGCUCAUAGGGCUCUACAAACAGGUGGCAGAUAUUUUUACGCAGGAUACUUUGGGCUGCACCUUCCUCCAUUAUGCAGUGGAGGUGAGCUGCAAGGAGAUUGACAAGUAAAUCAUAGACAACGCAUCUACCACUCUCCUGGAUGUCAUAGAAAAAGAGACGGUGAAAUGCUGAAGUGGCGUGCAAAGAAGGCCAAUGACCAGGAGCUGGCUGAGUACUUGGAGAACUGCCAGUACUACCAGAUGAUCCAACGAGAGGACCAGGAGACUGCUGUAUGAUGAUCCCACUAUUUACUGCAACCGCAUCACACUCUCUCUCUGUCUCUCUCUCUCUGUUUGCCAAUACUUAACAAUAGAAAGCCCUGUACUGGAUUUGAAGGGGGAGAGGGAGGUGUCUUCCCUCUAACAGACCAGGCUGGCUACACUAUAGAAAUAGAAUGACUAUAGAAUUACUAUUACUAUGGGCUACACUACUAGUAUGGGUCAAAGUGUAGAGGUGAGCCAGUGGAGGCAGGUCUUUCUUUCUUCCUCUUGCUAGUGAUGCUUCAGUUUGACUAGAGUGUUGAGUGCUAUGUGUCAGGAGUGCAUGUAUGUUAACUGCUUUUCUUCUAUUAUGAAUGGGUCCAAGUCCUCUACACAGCAAGUGAAUGGAAAUGAAAAAGCAAGUGAAAAAAAGAACAGCUUUUUGGGGUAUUUUCAGGGCUGGAGUAACUGGAUCUGAAUGUGGCUUCAUGAAACGUGUAUCUUUCUCCAUAUGCAAUGUCAAGGCAUUGUGUAAAGUUUCUGUCAUUGAAUGAGGUUGCUUUUAACCCCCUAGAGUUUAUUGAGGCACCGGUGCCUCAAUCUAAGUAACAUAAUUAAAAAAUCCCCAUCAAAAUCCACCAUUUUAAGCUAGAGAUAUGUUUGUAUGGGCUGCGUAUUAAUACUGUGCUGUAUAUUUGCUCAUCA